GCGGGUAUAGUAUAGGGGUAAUACACUUGCUUGCCAAGCAAGACAGGCGGGUUCGAGUCCCGCUACCCGCU
rnacentral:tRNA from 1 species